UCGAAGAAAUCCCGCAGGAGGCCCCCGUCGGGGAUGUCCCCCUUGGACUCGAGGAAAUGGAGGACGUCCAGCCCAUCCUCGUACUGGGCGGGGUACCGGUGCUCCGGCGAAAGGCGGUAGUUGACGGAGACCACGGCCACGGAUAGCUUUCUGCAGAAUCGGCGGCACAGGACGUCGUACGCAGGGAUCGCGGCCGAGAAGAACGCGAACCCCCCACCGUGGAAGAACACGAUCACGGGCAGCGCCGUCCCCCCGGCGCCACUCUGGGAGGCUGGCAGGAAGAGGCGGAUCCAAAGUCCGCGAGUGGGGUCGAUGGUGAGAUCGGCC
rnacentral:lncRNA from 1 species